UACGUAGGGACCGAGCGUUGUCCGGAAUCAUUGGGCGUAAAGAGCGUGUAGGCGGCCUUUUAAGUCCUGCGUGAAAUCCUGCGGCUCAACCGCAGACGGUCGUGGGAAACUGGAAGGCUAGAGUGCGGGAGAGGAGAGUGGAAUUCCCGGUGUAGCGGUGAAAUGCGCAGAUAUCGGGAAGAACACCCGUGGCGAAGGCGGCUCUCUGGACCAGCACUGACGCUGAGGCACGAAAGCGUGGGGAGCAAACAGGG
rnacentral:rRNA from 1 species